rnacentral:rRNA from 1 species
AUUGAACGCUGGCGGCAGGCUUAACACAUGCAAGUCGAGCGGGGUGAUGGUGCUUGCACUAUCACUUAGCGGCGGACGGGUGAGUAAUGCUUAGGAAUCUGCCUAUUAGUGGGGGACAACAUCUCGAAAGGGAUGCUAAUACCGCAUACGUCCUACGGGAGAAAGCAGGGGAUCACUUGUGACCUUGCGCUAAUAGAUGAGCCUAAGUCGGAUUAGCUAGUUGGUGGGGUAAAGGCCUACCAAGGCGACGGUCUGUAGCGGGUCUGAGAGGAUGACCCGCCACACUGGGACUGAGACACGGCCCAGACUCCUACGGGAGGCAGCAGUGGGGAAUAUUGGACAAUGGGGGGAACCCUGAUCCAGCCAUGCCGCGUGUGUGAAGAAGGCCUUAUGGUUGUAAAGCACUUUAAGCGAGGAGGAGGCUCUUUUGGUUAAUACCCAAGAUGAGUGGACGUUACUCGCAGAAUAAGCACCGGCUAACUCUGUGCCAGCCGCCGCAGUAA